rnacentral:tRNA from 1 species
AGGCUGAAGUCCGNCAGGCUUGGACGUUUAGUUGUUAACUAGUUUUUUAUAGGAUCAAGGCCUAUCAGUCUAG